rnacentral:lncRNA from 1 species
CAGACUGGAGACAUGACAACAUAGUGGAGGCCUACAGACUGGAGACAUGACAACAUAGUGGAGGCCUACAGACUGGAGACAUUACAACAUAGUGGAGGCCUACAGACUGGAGACAUGACAUCAUAGUGGAGGCCUACAGACUGGAGACAUUACAACAUAGUGGAGGCCUAGAGACUGGAGACAUGACAUCACGGUAGAGGGCUACGAACUGGAGACAUUACAACAUAGUGGAGACCUACAGACUGGAGUCAUGACAACAUAGUGGAGGCCUGCAGACUGGGGAUAUGACAAUAUAGUGGAGACCUACAGACUGGAGACAUUACAACAUAGUGGAGGCCUGCUGAUUGGUGAUAUGACAACAUUGUGGAGGCCUACAGACUGGAGACAUUACAACAUAGUGGAGACCUACAGACUGGAGUCAUGACAACAUAGUGGAGGCCUGCAGACUGGGGAUAUGACAACAUAGUGGAGGCCUGCAGACUGGAGACAUUAUUACAUAGUGGAGGCCUGAAGACUGGGGAUAUGACAACAUAUUGUAGGCCUACAGACUGGAGACAUUACAUCAUAGUGGAGGACUACGGACUGGGGACAUGACAUUAUAGUGGAGGACUACGGACUGGGGACAUGACAUUAUUGUGGAAAACUACAGACAUAGCAACAUAGUUGAGGCCUACAGACUGGAGACAUUACAUCAUAGUGGAGGCCUACAGACUGGAGACAUUACAUCAUAGUGGAGGCCUACAGACUGGGGACAUGACAUUAUAGUAGAAGACUACAGACAUGGCAACAUAGUGGAGGCCUACAGACUGGAGACAUUACAAAAUAGUGAAGACUAACAGACUGGAGACAGGACAACAUAGUGAAGGCCUACAGACUGGAGACAUGACAACAUAGUGGAGGCCUACAGACUGGAGACAUGACAUCAUAGCGGAGGCCUACAGACUGGAGACAUGACAUCAUAGUGGAGGACUACAGACUGGAGACAUGACAACAUAGUGGAGGCCUACAGACUGGAGACAUGACAACAUAGUGGAGGCCUACAGACUGGAGACAUGACAACAUAGUGGAGGCCUACAGACUGGAGUCAUGACAACAUAGGGGGGGCCUACAGACUGGAGACAUGACAACAUAGUGGAAGCUAACAG